GGGCUAUAGCCUUGGUGGGGGGCGUGGGCGAAGUUCGUCCGCGGGACUCGGAAUGGCACCAUACUUGGCGGGCGGCCUCUGUGUGCCAAAAAUAGGCCACGGGCACAGCCGCGCCCAAAAAUCAGCCCCCGAAGGUCGGGGUCCCAAGACCCCCCAGUGGAAAAAUGGUCAAAAAACGGGUGGGCUAUAGCCUUGGUGGGGGGCGUGGGCGAACUUCGUCCGCGGGACUCGGAAUGGCCCCUGACUUGGCGGGCGGCCUCCGUGUGCCAAAAAUAGGCCACGGGCACAGCCGCGCCCAAAAAUCAGCCCCCGAAGGUCGGGGUCCCAAGACCCCCCAGCGGAAAAAUGGCCAAAAAACGGGUGGGCUAUAGCCUUGGUGGGCGGCGUGGGCGAAGUUCGUCCGCGGGACUCGGAAUGGCACCAUACUUGCCGGGCGGCCUCUGUGUGCCAAAAAUAGGCCACGGGCACAGCCGCGCCCAAAAAUCAGCCCCCGAAGGUCGGGGUCCCAAGACCCCCCAGUGGAAAAAUGGCCAAAAAACGGGUGGGCUAUAGCCUUGGUGGGGGGCGUGGGCGAACUUCGUCCGCGGGACUCGGAAUGGCCCCUGACUUGGCGGGCGGCCUCCGUGUGCCAAAAAUAGGCCACGGGCACAGCCGCGCCCAAAAAUCAGCCCCCGAAGGUCGGGGUCCCAAGACCCCCCAGUGGAAAAAUGGCCAAAAAACGGGUGGGCUAUAGCCUUGGUGGGGGGCGUGGGCCAACUUCGUCCGCGGGACUCGGAAUGGCCCCUGACUUGGCGGGCGGCCUCCGUGUGCCAAAAAUAGGCCACGGGCACAGCCGCGCCCAAAAAUCAGCCCCCGAAGGUCGGGGUCCCAAGACCCCCCAGUGGAAAAAUGGCCAAAAAACGGGUGGGCUAUAGCCUUUUUGGGGGGCGUGGGCGAACUUCGUCCGCGGGACUCGGAAUGGCCCCUGACUUGGCGGGCGGCCUCCGUGUGCCAAAAAUAGGCCACGGGCACAGCCGCGCCCAAAAAUCAGCCCCCGAAGGUCGGGGUCCCAAGACCCCCCAGCGGAAAAAUGGCCAAAAAACGGGUGGGCUAUAGCCUUGGUGGGCGGCGUGGGCGAAGUUCGUCCGCGGGACUCGGAAUGUCACCAUACUUGGCGGGCGGCCUCUGUGUGCCAAAAAUAGGCCACGGGCACAGCCGCGCCCAAAAAUCAGCCCCCGAAGGUCGGGGUCCCAAGACCCCCCAGCGGAAAAAUGGCCAAAAAACGGGUGGGCUAUAGCCUUGGUGGGGGGCGUGGGCGAACUUCGUCCGCGGGACUCGGAAUGGCCCCUGACUUGGCGGGCGGCCUCCGUGUGCCAAAAAUAGGCCACGGGCACAGCCGCGCCCAAAAAUCAGCCCCCGAAGAUCGGGGUCCCAAGACCCCCCAGCGGAAAAAUGGCCAAAAAACGGGUGGGCUAUAACCUUGGUGGGCGGCGUGGGCGAAGUUCGUCCGCGGGACUCG
rnacentral:lncRNA from 1 species